GGCUGAUGUUAUUGAAGAAGUGUUAAAUGUCAAGGAAGUUUGAUCUAGACGAGGGUACCCAUAUAGACAAUUCUUGGUAAAGUGGCUUGGUAAACAAGCAAAUGAAAGCACGUUGAAUUUUUUACGAAGAGCUGAAAUGAGUUGAUCCAACCAUAUAUAUGGAAUAUGUCAAGGUUUACUCAUUAGAGCCGAGUUCUUUUCUGACCCGGGGAGAAUGAUGCAAGAGCAUCCAAAUUAAAUUAAGACUUCAAUGUUUUUGUUUUUUUUCAAUUUUCAUUUACGCAGGAUUCCUAUUUUGUUUUCCUUCUUUAUAUAGGAUUCCAAUUUAUUCAACUUCAUUAAUUAGGAAUACUUUUCCAUCUAAAAUUAGGAUUUGUCCUAACUAGUAUAAAUAGGACAGC
rnacentral:misc_RNA from 1 species